CCGGGUUCGUGUACGGGAACGCGUCGCUCGCGACGAGGUUGUGUCGCCGUACCUCGAUCGGGUCGCGUCCGAUGGCCCGGGC
rnacentral:tRNA from 2 species